AGUGCAGGUGGUUGUAUAAGUCUGAAGUAAAAAGGCAGUGGCUCAACCAUUGUGUGCUUUGGAAACUGUACAACUUGAGUGCAGAAGGGGAGAGUGGAAUUCCAUGUGUAGCGGUGAAAUGCGUAGAUAUAUGGAGGAACACCGGUGGCGAAAGCGGCUCUCUGGUCUGUAACUGACACUGAGGCUGAAAGCUGGGGGAGCAAACA
rnacentral:rRNA from 1 species